rnacentral:rRNA from 1 species
GAAUUGUUCACAAUGGGCGCAAGCCUGAUGACGCAACGCCGCGUGGAGGAUGAAGGUCUUCGGAUUGUAAACUCCUGUUGCUCGGGACGAAAUGCUCUGACCUAACACGUCAGAGUUUGACGGUACCGAGCGAGGAAGCCCCGGCUAACUCUGUGCCAGCAGCCGCGGUAAUACAGAGGGGGCAAGCGUUGUUCGGAAUUACUGGGCGUAAAGGGCGCGUAGGCGGCCUGUUAAGUCGAACGUGAAAUCCCCGGGCUCAACCCGGGAACUGCGUCCGAAACUGGCAGGCUUGAAUCCGGGAGAGGGAUGUGGAAUUCCAGGUGUAGCGGUGAAAUGCGUAGAUAUCUGGAGGAACAUCGGUGGCGAAGGCGACAUCCUGGACCGGUAUUGACGCUGAGGCGCGAAAGCCAGGGGAGCAAACGGG